AACCCAGACUCCUACGGGAGGCAGCAGUGGGGGAUAUUGCACAAUGGGGGAAACCCUGAUGCAGCGACGCCGCGUGGGCGAAGAAGUAUUUCGGUAUGUAAAGCCCUAUCAGCAGGGAAGAAGAAAUGACGGUACCUGAGUAAGAAGCACCGGCUAAAUACGUGCCAGCAGCCGCGGUAAUACGUAUGGUGCAAGCGUUAUCCGGAUUUACUGGGUGUAAAGGGAGCGCAGGCGGCGCGUUAAGCCUGGUGUGAAAGCCCGGGGCCCAACCCCGGGACUGCUUUGGAAACUGUGUAACUGGAGUACAGGAGGGGCAGGCGGAAUUCCUGGUGUAGCGGUGAAAUGCGUAGAUAUCAGGAGGAACACCAGUGGCGAAGGCGGCCUGCUGGACGAUGACUGACGUUGAGGCUCGAAAGCGUGGGGAGCAAACAGGAUUAGAUCCCCGUGUA
rnacentral:rRNA from 1 species